rnacentral:rRNA from 1 species
UACGUAGGGUGCAAGCGUUAAUCGGAAUUACUGGGCGUAAAGCGUGCGCAGGCGGCUUUGCAAGACAGAUGUGAAAUCCCCGGGCUUAACCUGGGAACUGCAUUUGUGACUGCAUGGCUGGAGUGCGGCAGAGGGGGAUGGAAUUCCGCGUGUAGCAGUGAAAUGCGUAGAUAUCUGGAGGAACACCGGUGGCGAAGGCGGCAUCCUGGACCGGUAUUGACGCUGAGGCGCGAAAGCUAGGGGAGCAAACGGG